rnacentral:pre_miRNA from 1 species
GAGCGAGUUCCGUGCUUCCUUACUUCCCAUAGUGCUUAUUAUCAUAUGGAAUGUAAAGAAGUAUGGAGCUGCGCG